rnacentral:lncRNA from 1 species
CUUUUGCGGGACCGACAGACCGUGCUACACUGCUGAGGGUGGGGGAGGGGACCCUGAACUGGGACGCCCCUGACGUCUCCUCAAGGAGCCCUGAUGCCCAGAACUUUCUCCACAUGCUCCUUCAGCCAGAUCCAGAGAAGCGACCAUCUGCCUUUGAGUGCUUGAGCCAUGAAUGGCUCCAGGACGAACAUGCAGGAGAAGAUACGGAUGAAAUCAACACCAA